UUGAAAGUAAACCAAACGCUUGGAGAGGUUACGCUGUCGGUUCGUCAUUUGUACCUAGUAAUGGGUGACGUUUUAGUUGAAGGUUGUUGGCCAUUAUGCUCUUCGGCAAGAGUGAUCUCUUGGUGCAUUGUUCGGCCUUGCAUAAAGUUGAGAUGACAACACUGCGUUGUAGGCACUUCGUUGGUAACUAUGUUCUUGAACUGAAUCAAUAGGUAGUAUUGGUCUUAACAUGUGGUUAACAAUGUUGGUAUAUAAAAAUUGGGCAGAACUUAUACCAGCACCAGAAGCACGUGAAUGCUGUGAGCGGCGAAACUUCGUAUUCAGUCUUCGACUUGGCUUCCUUGAUUUACUACUACUAAAGCGAAACGGUAAUUGAGUUUGUGACGGGAGCCUUGUAACGCAUCUCUUCUUACUGAAAUGGUGUUAUUACUUGCUUCCGUCGGGAUUUAGACUAUUCUAAAGACUAAACGAUUUAGCCACGGAAGUAGUUUUAGUAACUUAAUAAACUGACUGUAAUAAAGAAAAGUAAAAACCUCCUUUUCCA